rnacentral:lncRNA from 1 species
AGCAUGUGAAACAUUAAUUAUCACAUCUACUUAUGUACAACAAAUCUAAAACAUAGUGCGGGAUUCCCAAAGUCACACAGUGAGUGACCAGAACCAGAGCAGAGAACUCUUUCACUUUAUACUGGUAUGUGACCCUUGUCCCAAGACCCUAACAACUCUGCCCAGACCAUCCCAGAUUCUUGAAAGUGUUUUGUCUACUUACAGCCACCGUAACUGGAGAUUUGAGGAAUUCAUGAAAUUGCUGAUUCACUACCUCUCAAAUAAUGGCAAGAGCUGUCUCUCUUCUGGAUGAAGGGAAGAGAUUGUGGAAAUGGCAGUCCGACACCUGGAAUUCUAGCUCUGUCUAGAUAUAUAUUUGAUGCCAAAUGGUCCUCCAAUACCAGGACAAGAAGAUACUACUAUUGUUGCAUCACAACACCGUCCCUAAAGUCAAGCCCAUUCUACACUUGGCUAUGGUGGUUUAUCUUUUUCUGGAUGGUUGCAUAGCCAAGACAAAGAAAUUCACAGAACACAGAAGAUACGACAAGGCUGUGGCUGCCAAGACACAGGAUCAUGGGAUUAUCACAGUGUCUGACUGGCACACGCGGGUUAAAGGUGAAGAGUUCAUAGACAUCACUCCUACCACAACAGGGCCAACGUGCCUAAGUGAAUCACAGGACCCACAGGGCACUGACCGUCUACGUGAGAUAACAACGACCAGAUGAGCUGCAGUUCAGCAAAUGCUCCAGAGCACAGAGAACGGGAGAAGUUUUCCUGGGAUCCUGCAGAAAGUGAGACUGCUGGAAAGCACCGAAAUUAAGUUGCCCACUUCAUUAGGUUUAGGAAAAACUGCGGUAAUUGCUCUAUCAGUGUAAACUUCUCUUAAGUUGUUUCUGAUUCUAAUGUG